GCCCUGGUACUCCAACGGCAGAGAGAGCGCACUCAAACUGCGUACAGUGUGGGUUCGAAUCCCACCCAGGGCA
rnacentral:tRNA from 1 species